GGAGAAGGAGCAGCCGGCACAGCUGCCAGCCUUUCCCGUUGGGUUUCCAGGCAGGAGUAAAACAAUGGCUGCUGAGAUACGUUACAUGGAAUGGGAACCUGGACUACCUCUUGCACAAAGCUGCUGAGGAAAAGCAUACGACUUAGAGAUGCUUCCAAGUUUUCAUAUGGCAUUUUGUGAAAUUUCUGGAGCUGGAAGUCAAAAACACCACUGCCAACUCCGCAGCCAUGGGGCACGCUCCCAAGAUAGUCUGACAGUCUCUUUGUUCCAUUCACAACGUUGGAAUUAUGGGAUUCCUCUGGGAAGGACUGACUUGAUGCUAAGUGCCCUCUCGAAGUUCCAUUGUUUCCCCACAGAAACAGGUACCACUGAGAACAUCUCAGCUGUAAGGCUUCCUCCUUCACUCUCCCUCAGUGAUGCAGUACAGUACCCUCAUUCACACUGUGCUGAGUGAAGUGAGGGAUUUCUUUGUUCACAAGGCUGUGACAUCCACGCUCAGGCAGACACAAGCCAGGAUUAUUUGGCUGAAUGGAGCUACAGUUUAGGAUGGAAGUACUGAUCAGCAAAAGCACUGAGGAGUGCCUCUUAGAGCAUGAAAAGUUAGAAAAAACAAAACCUUGUCCCCAAAUCAUACUCAGAGACUCACCAGCAGCCUCUGCAGCACAGAUCAUUAUCAAAAGCUCCUCACUUAUAAGCAAACAACUGCAUAUUGCAUUCACUCCAUUUCCAAGUGCCCUCAAAACCUGCUGUAGAUAGAUUACUGUAGCUCCACUGAUAAAUAGUGCAUACUUUUCCUAUUUCUCCAAACUGAUGCACCACCUCUUUUUUUUUUUUUUUAACACUUUUUAUGAUUCACAUUCUCCCCUUAGUCACAGCAGUAAACAUCUAAUGCCACUGGGCUUACAGAGAUCCACUGCUCUGAAAUGCUCCCCUGGCAGCUGAGCUGGGUUACCAGGGUUGCUGUCAGCAGCCAGCCCUGGGAUAGAUGCAGUAUUACUGGCUUCAGAGCCAUUGGCAGCACACUGAAUGACUCAGUAAAGUCAAGAGCCUCAGCUACCACAACAAAUCUGCGUGGUCAGCAAUGCCCUCAGAUGCUGAGAGGUCACAACACUGGGGAGGCAGGAGAGGAGCAGCUCCAACUGCUCGCACUGGAGAUGCAGCAGGGAAUCUGGUUGAGGCCAGUGCUGCUGAUUCCCCCCCCCCUUCUACUUGGUGUAAGCAAGCAGAAAGACAUUUACUGUUUGUCAAUGUAUUCUUUUCAUUAGUUAAAAUAAAAUUCUGAGUGCC
rnacentral:lncRNA from 7 species